AUUGAACGCUGGCGGCAGGCCUAACACAUGCAAGUCGAGCGGAGCGGCGGACGGGUGAGUAAUGCCUAGGAAUCUGCCUGGUAGCGGGGGAUAACGUCCGGAAACGGGCGCUAAUACUGCUUACUAUCAGAUGCGCCUAGGGCGGAUUAGCUAGUUGGGGGGGUAAAGGCCUAACAAGGCGACGAUCCGUAACUGGUCUGAGAGGAUGAUCAGCCACACUGGAACUGAGACACGGUCCAGACGCCUACGGGAGGCAGCAGUGGGGAAUAUUGGACAAUGGGCGAAAGCCUGAUCCAGCCAUGCCGCGUGUGUGAAGAAGGUCUUCGGAUUGUAAAGCACUUUAAGUUGGGAGGCGUUACCAACAGAAGAAGCACCGGCUAACUUCGUGCCAGCAGCCGCGGUAAUUC
rnacentral:rRNA from 1 species